rnacentral:lncRNA from 1 species
UAAUAAAGCACCCACGCAUGCUGUCACGAACGUUGUGACCGUUGCAUGCUCAGAGGUGUGACGAGCGUAACGCAUGCUGUCACGGUCGUCACACCCCCAUGACGCCCGUCACGCAUGCUGUCACGAGCGUGACAACUUGCUUUCUCGUAAAUGUUGUUGACCGUUAUGACCAGACCGUUACUCCCCUUUCCAAUUCCUCUUUACCCCCAUUCAACUCACCUCUCUAUCCCCAUUAAUUUUUUUC